GUUCAUGGCUCAGGACGAACGCUGGCGGCGCGCCUAACACAUGCAAGUCGAACGAGCGAGAGAGAGUUUACUUUUUCGAGCGAGUGGCGAACGGGUGAGUAACGCGUGAGGAACCUGCCUCAAAGAGGGGGACAACAGUUGGAACGACUGCUAAUACCGCAUAAGCCCACGGCUCGGCAUCGAGCAGAGGGAAAAGGAGCAAUCCGCUUUGAGAUGGCCUCGCGUCCGAUUAGCUAGUUGGUG
rnacentral:rRNA from 1 species